AACCAACAAGCUUGCUUGUUGGGGUUGUAGGACACUCUAUACGGAGUUACAAAGGACGACAUUAGACGAAUCAUCUGGAAAGAUGAAUCAAAGAAGGUAAUAAUCCUGUAGUCGAAAAUGUUGUCUCUCUUGAGUGGAUCCUGAGUACGACGGAACACGUGAAAUUCCGUCGGAAUCUGGGAGGACCAUCUCCUAAGGCUAAAUACUCUCUAGUGACCGAUAGUGAACCAGUACCGUGAGGGAAAGGUGAAAAGCACCCCGGAAGGGGAGUGAAAUAGAACCUGAAACCGUGUGCUUACAAGUAGUCAGAGCCCGUUAAUGGGUGAUGGCGUGCCUUUUGUAGAAUGAACCGGCGAGUUACGAUUUGAUGCAAGGUUAAGCAGUAAAUGUGGAGCCGUAGCGAAAGCGAGUCUGAAUAGGGCGUUUAGUAUUUGGUCGUAGACCCGAAACCAGGUGAUCUACCCUUGGUCAGGUUGAAGUUCAGGUAACACUGAAUGGAGGACCGAACCGACUUACGUUGAAAAGUGAGCGGAUGA
rnacentral:rRNA from 1 species